ACGUCAGCUGAGAAUCACUGCAAAUCUGUGAAGUCUGGUGCUCAUCUGGUAUCAAUCCACAGUGCUGAGGACAACAAUGCUGUGGAUGAAUUCAGUCAGUGGAGCAGCCGACAUAACCCUCGCAUCUGGCUCGGUGGUCAUGCAGUAAAUGACCCUUCACAGGCUAGCAACUUCCUCUGGGUCGAUGGGUCUGAUAUGAAUUUCUCUGCCUGGAUUCAGGACCCCAAGCAACCAUCCGGUGACGGACGUUGCAUGG